ACAGCAGUGGCGCACGGGUGAGUAACGCGUGGAUACCUGUCCUUUUUGGGUUCGGAAUAACUCCGGGAAACUGGAGCUAAUACCGGAUGGUUCCUACGGGGAUAAAGAUUUAUCGCCAAAAGAUGAGUCCGCGUACGAUUAGCUAGUUGGUGAGGUAAUGGCUCACCAAGGCGACGAUCGUUAGCUGGUCUGAGAGGACGAUCAGCCACACUGGGACUGAGACACGGCCCAGACUCCGUACGGGAGGCAGCAGGUGGGGAAUUAUUGGACAAUGGGGGCAACCCUGAUCCAGCCAUGCCGCGUGAGUGAUGAAGGCCUUCGGGUUGUAAAGCUCUUUUGGCGGGGACGAUGAUGACGGUACCCGCAGAAUAAGCCCCGGCUAACUUCGUG
rnacentral:rRNA from 1 species